rnacentral:rRNA from 1 species
AUUGAACGCUGGCGGCAGGCCUAACACAUGCAAGUCGAACGAGUGGCGGACGGGUGAUUAAUGUCUGGGACCCUUCCUGAUGGAGGGGGAUAACUACUGGAAACGGUAGCUAAUACCGCAUACCAUCAGAUGUGCCCAGAUGGGAUUAGCUAGGUGGUGGGGUAACGGCUCACCAAGGCGACGAUCCCUAGCUGGUCUGAGAGGAUGACAAGCCACACUGGAACGGGGACACGGUCCAGACUCCUACGGGAGGCAGCAGUGGGGAAUAGUGCACAAUGGGCGCAAGCCUGAUGCAGCGAUGCCGAGUGUAUGAAGAAGGCCUUCGGGUUGUAAAGUACUUUCAGCGGGGAGGCGUUACCCGCAGAAGAAGCACCGGCUAACUCCGUGCCAGCAGCCGCGGUAAUUC